UAUUUUUAGCUUUGUUUUUAUGAUUUGAAGUACUUUCAUUUUUUGUUAUUUUUAUGUACUGUCCAAAACUCUGAGUUUUAUAAUAUUACUUUUAUUUUUAGUUAAUUCAUUUUUAUGUUUAUGUUAUUUAAGUGAUAAUGAUUAACAUGAGUGGAUGACUAUGAGCACCCAGACAGAGUUUGUAUUCCCUACUCAUGACAAUACCAAUCAAUCAUAAUAUCUAUUAAAUGAUUUCAUGUGGUUUUUUGGAGGUUUUACUGGAAGGGGUGUAAGGUCAUGUUGAUAGCGUGUAAAGUUCAUCACACGAGAGGCAUUAUACACAUUGUUAGCCCUGACCUACAUGGUGAAAAAAAAACAAACAUAAUUUUCAUCAUAUGAUAGAGCAUUCAGGUAUAUUUUUAUCAUCUAGAACUUGCAUUUUCUCUUUUCUGAUAUCACGUGCAUGUUGCACAUACUAAGGCACAUUGUU
rnacentral:lncRNA from 1 species